UGCAACAAUUGCUCCCGCAAUGGGGAACAC
rnacentral:sRNA from 1 species